AGUGAACGCUGGCGGCAGGCCUAACACAUGGAAGUCGAACGGCAGCACGGCAGUAGCAAUACUGUGGGUGGCGAGUGGCGGACCCCGGGUGAGGAAUACAUCGGGAUCUACCCUGUUGUGGGGGAUAACGUAGGGAAACUUACGCUAAUACCGCAUAAGAACUGAGGUUGAAAGCGGCGGACCGCAAGGCGUCGCGCGAUUGGAUGAACCGAUGUCCGAUUAGCUAGUUGGCGGGGUAAAGGCCCACCAAGGCGACGAUCGGUAGCUGGUCUGAGAGGACGACCAGCCACACUGGAACUGAGACACGGUCCAGACUCCUACGGGAGGCAGCAGUGGGGAAUAUUGGACAAUGGGCGCAAGCCUGAUCCAGCCAUGCCGCGUGAGUGAAGAAGGCCUCGGUUGUAAG
rnacentral:rRNA from 1 species